rnacentral:rRNA from 1 species
GACGAACGCUGGCGGCGUGCUUAACACAUGCAAGUCGAGCGGGAUCCAACCGGUGGCAACACCGGGGAAGAUCUAGCGGCGAACGGGUGAGUAACACGUGAGCAACCUGCCCCGAAGACUGGGAUAACACCGGGAAACCGGUGCUAAUACCGGAUGUCGUCAUUAGGCCGCAUGACCUGAUGAUGAAAGGAUUCAUCGCUUCGGGAGGGGCUCGCGGGCUAUCAGCUUGNGGUGGGGUAACGGCCUACCAAGGCGACGACGGCUAGCUGGUCUGAGAGGACGACCAGCCACACUGGGACUGAGACACGGGCCCAGACUCCUACGGGAGGCAGCAGUGGGGAAUUUGGACAAUGGGGGCAACCCUGAUCCAGCCAUGCCGCGUGAGUGAAGAAGGCCU